GAUGAACGCUGGCGGCGUGCUUAACACAUGCAAGUCGAACGAUGAAGCCCAGCUUGCUGGGUGGACUAGUGGCGAACGGGUGAGUAACACGCGAGUAUCCUGCCCUUGACUCUGGGAUAUGCCUGGGAAACAGGGUCUAUUACUGGAUAUGACUUCUCAUCGCAUGGUGGGGGGUGGAAAGAUUUAUUGGUCUUGGAUGGACUCGCGGCCUAUCAGCUUGUUGGUGAGGUAAUGGCUCACCAAGGCGACGACGGGUAGCCGGCCUGAGAGGGUGACCGGCCACACUGGGACUGAGACACGGCCCAGACUCCUACGGGAGGCAGCAGUGGGGAAUAUUGCACAAUGGGCGCAAGCCUGAUGCAGCGACGCCGCGUGAGGGAUGACGGCCUUCGGGUUGUAAACCUCUUUCAGUAGGGAAGAAGCGAGAGUGACGGUACCUGCAGAAGAAGCGCCGGCUAACUACGUG
rnacentral:rRNA from 1 species